rnacentral:rRNA from 1 species
GACGAACGCUGGCGGCGUGCUUAACACAUGCAAGUCGAACGGAAAGGCCCUGCUUUUGUGGGGUGCUCGAGUGGCGAACGGGUGAGUAACACGUGAGUAACCUGCCCUUGACUUUGGGAUAACUUCAGGAAACUGGGGCUAAUACCGGAUAGGAGCUCCUGCUGCAUGGUGGGGGUUGGAAAGUUUCGGCGGUUGGGGAUGGACUCGCGGCUUAUCAGCUUGUUGGUGGGGUAGUGGCUUACCAAGGCUUUGACGGGUAGCCGGCCUGAGAGGGUGACCGGCCACAUUGGGACUGAGAUACGGCCCAGACUCCUACGGGAGGCAGAAGUGGGGAAUAUUGCACAAUGGGCGGAAGCCUGAUGCAGCAACGCCGCGUGCGGGAUGACGGCCUUCGGGUUGUAAACCGCUUUCGCCUGUGACGAAGCGUGAGUGACGGUAAUGGGUAAAGAAGCACCGACUAACUAAGAG